rnacentral:rRNA from 1 species
UGGGGGAAUAUUGCACAAUGGGCGCAAGCCUGAUGCAGCGACGCCGCGUGCGGGAUGGAGGCCUUCGGGUUGUAAACCGCUUUGUUCAAGGGCAAGGCACGGUCUUUGGCCGUGUUGAGUGGAUUGUUCGAAUAAGCACCGGCUAACUACGUGCC